UACGUAGGGGGCAAGCGUUGUCCGGAAUUAUUGGGCGUAAAGAGCGUGUAGGCGGUCCGGUAAGUCGGCUGUGAAAGUCCAGGGCUCAACCCUGGGAUGCCGGUCGAUACUGCCGGACUAGAGUUCGGAAGAGGCGAGUGGAAUUCCCGGUGUAGCGGUGAAAUGCGCAGAUAUCGGGAGGAACACCUAUGGCGAAGGCAGCUCGCUGGGAC
rnacentral:rRNA from 1 species